AAGGCUAGGUGUGACAGCCAAAGGAGAGAGCCAGCAUGAGCAUGGGGGGAGGAAAGGCUGCGUUCACGGAAGGUGGGCAAUAGGAGCAGAACCUCUUGGAUAAGCAGCAAAAGCAAAUAAAAAAUAAUAAAUCUGAAGACCAAGGAUCAUCGAGUCCAACUCCUGGCUCCAUACGGCACCACUCAGGAUCUCACCAGUAUCUUCACCAAGAGAAAUAGCAACCACAAAGAGCUCCAACCAUUGGGGGAAGAAGAAUGUUUAAUUCCUGAGGAAACGCGGCAGUCUGGUCUUACAUCACCGAGCAGGGGAGGCUGGUAAUUACUCCCUGAACAGAGAUGCUCUUUGCAGAGAUGCUCUACACUGAUUUAUUUUCUCAGCGCCCGAGGCAUCGGAGCUUUUCAAUGAUAUCAGCACUGGCAACAUGUUUAUCCCGGAGCUUGUGGGGCUCUGCGUUCAUAACUCACAGGUAUCAGACCUUCCUGGUGGCUUCCUGACAUUUCCAGCCAGCACAGAAUCCACCCAGCUUAAAAAAUGAGCCCAGCUGCAAACACUUUUCUAACAGUGACAGUAAAGUGCUACUAU
rnacentral:lncRNA from 7 species